rnacentral:sRNA from 1 species
CGUUUGACGAGUUGCGUGUCAUUACUGCCAAUGUUCAAGCAUCAAUGAGGGACACAUCAUACAAAGUUCAGAUAUUCCUUGAAUCUGAAGAUAACGGUGUGGUGGAGUCAUCAUCAUGCGAGUGUCCUAUGGGGAGGAAUUAUUUCCACCAAAACAACCAGGAUACAGCAAUGCACUGGAUUCUGUCAAAAGAACCCACAACUGAAGAUAGUCCUGUUGUCUUGAUACAAGAACUAUUUCAAAGUAAAGAUUUCUUGGAUGCUGAAUGCAAGGAAUCCUUUUUAAGGGAGAAGCUUUCAAUAUCCCCAGAGCAAAUUAUCCAGACUGCAUGGACCACAAUAGGGCAGAGGGAAAAUACCUUGUGGGCCAAAGUUCGCAAGCUGCGUUUCACAGCAUCCAAUUUUGGACAGAUUGUUACAGCUGUUCGAAAAAACAGGUUAAACAUGUCCUUGAAAAAAAGACUACUGAGUGCAUACAACUUGGAAAAAAGAGCACCAAUCCAAUGGGGACUUGCCCAUGAGAAGACUGCAAUACAAGAAUACUGCAAGGUCUUUGAAGUGAAUGUUUUAGAGACAGGAAUUUGGCUUCAUGAGUCUGGGCUACUUGGAGCCUCUCCAGAUGGCUUUGUUCAAGGAAAUCCAAAGAACAUCACUGAACGAGUCCAUCAACAAGAAAAGAACUCAACAUUGCUGUCACCUGACAUUGUUGAGGUGAAAUGUCCAUUUUCUGCCAGAUCAAUGACAAUCAAAGAAGCUUGUUCAAAUGUGAAGGAUUUCUUUCUUGAUUGUAAUCCAAGUGAUAAUUCACUUCACCUCAGAACACAACAUGAUUAUUGGCACCAGAUCCAAGGACAGUUGUACCUGACAGGAACACAGUGCUGUGACUUAGUAGUGUGGACUCAGGCAGACAUUCAAGUUGUUCGUAUCGAGAAAGAUGCAUCAUGGUCAUCAAACAUCUUGAACAUGAUCGAGUUUUAUUAUAAAGUGUUUCUGCCAAGUUUAUGA